GUGUGUUAGACGUUGGAAAUUUAUUUUCAGUGUCGCAGCGAAAGCGAUAAACACACCGCCUGGGGAGUACGACCGCAAGGUUAAAACUCAAAUGAAUUGACGGGGACCCGCACAAGUAGUGGAGCAUGUGGUUUAAUUCGAAGAUACGCGCAGAACCUUACCAACACUUGACAUGUUCGUCGCGACUCUAAGAGAUUAGAGUUUUCGGUUCGGCCGGACGAAACACAGGUGCUGCAUGGCUGUCGUCAGCUCGUGUCGUGAGAUGUUGGGUUAAGUCCCGCAACGAGCGCAACCCUCACUUUUAGUUGCCAUCAUUUAGUUGGGCACUCUGAAAGAACUGCCAGUGAUAAGCUGGAGGAAGGUGGGGAUGACGUCAAGUCCUCAUGGCCCUUACGUGUUGGGCUACACACGUGCUACAAUGGUAUCUACAACAGGAAGCAAGACUGCGAGGUCAAGCAAAUCCUUAAAAGAUACCUCAGUUCGGAUUGCACUCUGCAACUCGAGUGCAUGAAGCUGGAAUUACUAGUAAUCGUGGAUCAGCGUGCCACGGUGAAUGCGUUCCCGGGUCUUGUACACACCGCCCGUCACACCAUGGGAGUUGGUUCUACCUUAAGGCAAGGUUUAAAACCCUUGACCACGGUAUAGUCAGCGACUGGGGUGAAGUCGUAACAAGGUAGCCGUAA
rnacentral:rRNA from 1 species